UAUCAAUAAGCGGAGGAAAAGAAACUAACAAGGAUUCCCCUAGUAACUGCGAGUGAAGCGGGAAAAGCUCAAAUUUAAAAUCUGGCGGUUCUUGUAGCCGUCCGAGUUGUAAUUUAGAGAAGCGUUAUCCGCGCUGGAACCGUGUACAAGUCUCCUGGAAUGGAGCGUCACAGAGGGUGAGAAUCCCGUCUUUGACACGGACUACCAGGGCAUUGUGAUGCGCUCUCAAAGAGUCGAGUUGUUUGGGAAUGCAGCUCAAAAUGGGUGGUAAAUUCCAUCUAAAGCUAAAUAUUGAGGAGAGACCGAUAGCGAACAAGUACCGUGAGGGAAAGAUGAAAAGAACUUUGGAAAGAGAGUUAAACAGUACGUGAAAUUGCUGAAAGGGAAACGCUUGAAGUCAGUCGCGUUGUUCAGGACUCAGCCUUGCUUUGCUUGGUGUACUUCCUGUUCGACGGGUCAGCAUCAAUUUUGGUCGGUGGAUAAAGGCUUAGAGAAUGUGGCAUCUUCGGGUGUGUUAUAGCUCUGGGUCGCAUACAUCGGCUGGGAUUGAGGAACUCAGCACGCCGCAAGGCCGGGUACUUGUACCACGUACGUGCUUAGGAUGCUGGCAUAAUGGCUUUAAUCGACCCGUCUUGAAACACGGACCAAGGAGUCUAACAUGCCU
rnacentral:rRNA from 1 species